AAGACUGAUAAAUGAGAUCACAGACAAUGACAGUGUCCCGCCUGGAGAGCCGUGGUGCAGCGCAUGCAGGCUGCACUGAACCCCAGGACAGGAGCUCAGCAUCCCUCCUAGAAGCCUUAGAAGAGUGUCUUCAGUGGACGAAGUAAUGUCUUGAGAGGAGAUAAGGAGGAGCAAGGCUCUGCUGAUACACUGCCUGGAUGCAGAUGUGGAGAUGAUGGAAGUGAACAUGUCACUGCCUGGAUCCAGAUGUGGAGAUGAUGGAGGAUCAAACCAACUGUCUGGAAGAAACAGAAUCCAGCCUAGCUGCUUAGAAGAGGUUUAAACCAACUGAGUCACUUGGAAAGGACACUCUCUCACCUGUUGAGUUGCCAGCAGGCUGUGCAGUGGGCUCCAGGUCCCCAGCUUUGUGAGUUGUCACCCAUGCUGUGGUUUGGCUUUGGUGAUAUAGCUGUCUGAGUUAUUUCUACUCCUGUGAGAAACCCUUGCCCAUAUUCCUGUAAGUAACCCCCCAAUAAAAUUCAUUGGUUCACUUAGUUGAAAGAAAUA